rnacentral:rRNA from 1 species
ACAGAUUUACUCGGUAAUGACGUUAGGAAAGCGAGCGGCGGAUGGGUGAGUAACACGUGGGGAACCUGCCCCAUAGUCUGGGAUACCACUUGGAAACAGGUGCUAAUACCGGAUAAGAAAGCAGAUCGCAUGAUCAGCUUUUAAAAGGCGGCGUAAGCUGUCGCUAUGGGAUGGCCCCGCCGGUGAUUAGCUAGUUGGUCGUACGUUUGGGUAAAGGUAAAAGGGCUUACCAAGGCGAUGAUGCAUAGCCGAGUUGAGAGACUGAUCGGCCACAUUGGGACUGAGACACGGCCCAAACUCCUACGGGAGGCAGCAGUAGGGAAUCUUCCACAAUGGACGCAAGUCUGAUGGAGCAACGCCGCGUGAGUGAAGAAGGUUUUCGGAUCGUAAAGCUCUGUUGUUGGUGAAGAAGGAUAGAGGUAGUAACUGGCCUUUAUUUGACGGUAAUCAACCAGAAAGUCACGGCUAACUACGUGCC